rnacentral:tRNA from 1 species
GGCACUUUGGCGGAGUGGUUAACGCGUAAGUUUCCGCCUUCGGGAGCGCAGGUUCGAAUCCUGCAGGUGUCG